rnacentral:lncRNA from 1 species
GGUGUUAACCUGGAUGGGUGUUUCUCACUUUCCCAGGGAUAGGCCCGUGGUCUUGGUAGUUGGAGGGGUGCUAGUGGGGUCUCAGAACCAGAGCAAGCAGAAUAGAUCCCACCCUCAGGAAUAUGCAGGUGGGGAAGGAAAACAGGACUCAUCUGGAGUCCAUUUGACUGUGGGAACUGGUCAUCUCUAGACCAUCUCACUGGAGAGAUGAACAGCUCUCACCGAGAACUUAGGUUUGAUUCCCUGAGCCCACACUGCGAAACUCACAACUGGCUGUAACUUCAGCUCCUA